rnacentral:tRNA from 1 species
UCCCUGGUGGUCUCAUGAUUAGGACUCAGGGCUUUCACUGCUGCAGCCCGGGUUCAAUCCCUGGUCUGGGAA